rnacentral:rRNA from 1 species
CCUACGGGUGGCUGCAGUCGAGAAUCAUUCACAAUGGGGGAAACCCUGAUGGGGCGACGCCGCGUGGGGGAAUGAAGGUCUGCGGAUUGUAAACCCCUGGCAUGGGGGAGCAAAUUAAAAAGAUAGUACCACAAGAGGAAGAGACGGCUAACGCUGGGCCAGCAGCCGCGGUAAGACAGAGGUCGCAAGCGGUGUUCGGAAUCACUGGGCGGAAAGCGUGCGGAGGCUGUUUCGUAAGUCGUGGGUGAAAGGCGCGGGCUCAACCCGCGGACGGCACCUGAUACUGCGAGACUAGAGUAAUGUAGGGGGAACCGGAAUUCUCGGUGUAGCCGU